rnacentral:rRNA from 1 species
UACAUAGACCUCAAGCGUAUCCGGAUUUACUGGGCGUAAAGCGUGCGUAGCGUUCCAUUAAGUCCUCGGUGAAAUCUUCGGGCUCAACCCGAAAACUGUCGAGGAAACUAGUGGAAUUGAGUAUGGCAGAGGCAGACGGAAUUCGAGGUGUAGCGGUAAAAAUGCGUAGAUAUCUCGAAGAACACCAGUGGCGAAGGCGGUCUGCUGGGCCAUCACU